CCACUAUAGUCCUCCAUUGAGGUUACUUGUGGCUCUGUCUCUGUGUGUGUAUGUGUGUAAUUCCCUUCCACGGUGUUGAAGAGUAAGCCUGUCCCUGGUUUUAGAGUCAAUAAGGGCAGCAAUCUUUAUAUUCCUAUAACUUCUCCGUCUCUAGACAGUUACUGAGAAGGAACCAUGCAGGAUGAAGCU
rnacentral:snoRNA from 1 species